CCAGACCAGCAGCUCCAACCCCUCGACGCACCCUCCCCACCCAGUUCACAGAGAACACAUCUAUGGUAGCCUCCGGGGAAUAGGCAGGAUUCUGGCCCAGAUUCCACAGCUGAAAAAACGCCUUCCCAGGGGCAGCCCUCUUGUAGGGACUGGGGAUGUGCUGCCAACAAGACAAAGUCUCUUCCCCAUGGAGUUCAUAUUCCAGUCCGGACCAGGUCUACAGCCAGACUAGAUGGAGACUCAGGGCUUCGCCACAGGAAUCUGGGGAACCACAUUCAGUCCACAGCAGAGAGCAAGAGAAGCCGUCUCCAAAGAGACGCCCCAGAGAAGCUUCCAGGGUGAAGCAAGGGAGAAACAACAAGAAGAUCCAGGGCAGGAGAGUGUCAGACUGCGGGAAGGAGGAGGAAGAAGAGGAGGAAGGAGGAAUCAAGCAUCAAAUCUAAAAAAAAUAAAUAAACUCCACUGUCACCAACCAGCUGUGUAGCCUUGAGAAAUCA